UUCUGAAUUUUGUGUUAUUCGGCUAACCGAAUAACCGAACAAGAUGUUAUAACCGAGCAAGAUGUUUAAAAGAAUUAAGGCUUAGUUAAAACACUAAUAUUAAUUCUUCACUACUCUCCAUCUCUUAUCUUCUCUUUUCUCAGUUUUCAGAUCUCGGUUAUCAACUCUCAGUGUCUCACCAUUCGUCAGUCUCCCAUAUCUUUAAUCUCUCGAUCUCUCAUCUCUACUCUAACAGAUCUCGAUCUCUAUUCUCUCAGAUCUCAGAUCUCAAUCACUCAUCAGUCAUCAUCUCGAUCUUUACUCUCAGAUCUCAGAUCUCUAUCAUCACCCCAGAUCCACCAAACUAUUUCUGGAAAAGAAAAAAGUAAGAAACAGAGAAGAUAAAUGGCCAGUCGCCGUCGUCAUGCUACCAUUGUUGAUUGGCGGCUAAAGAUAUUUACAAUUAUUCUUUUGAUUGUGUUUGGGAUUCUGGGUUUUCUGGAGUUUGGGGUUUGGAAUCCAUUUUCUUUGGUUGUUGGGAGGGAGAAUGAAAGAGGCGAGGAUGAAGAUGAUGAUAAGCCGUUGUCUGUUUGUUUCUUCUCCUUUAUUAAGUGUUUGGUUAUUUGGAUUAGUCAGUGUUUGGUUAUUUGGAUUAGUCAGCUCAGCUCAGUUUGUUUUCAACUACAACAAUUGCUACUUGGCUUGAAGGGGUUAUACCAUUUCGUCUUUCCAAUUUAAGUUUGUUUCAAACAGGUAGUGGAAUUACUAUUUCCAUCGAGUUCUGCAUUUGAAGCAAUUUUUGUAAUGGAUUUAGUUUUGUUUUAGAAAUCAGUAAUAUAUUUCUUAAUUUCAGUUUUUAUCCGAACAACCGAAUAAUAAAUUCGGUAAUUCGGUUAUUGAGUAAUUCGGUUAUUUGUUCGGAUAUCAAAGUUGUACAAAUUUUGGUUUUCAGUUAUAACCGAAUAACCUAUUCGGUUCGGUUAUAACCGAAUGCUCAGCCCUAGUUUCUUCCAUUUGAAAGACCUUUUUCCUGAUAUCACCGAUGUUUGGAUCUUCUUUGAGAUGUGUGUUUUCAGGGUCUUUGUUGGUCGUAUCCAACUGAGGUUCUAGAUUUGUUUUAUCCAAACCUUGUGUUCCUCCUUGUGUAAAGGAUUAUGUAUGUGUAGGCAUCUUUGUACCCUGAGUAGACUGAUGCAAUUCUUUCAGUAGAACAACCAAAUCUGUAAUUUGUUUACUUAAUCCGUCAAAUUCUUCUCGAGAAACAGCAUUAGAUUGGUCAGAAGAAGACAUGAUUGGUUGUAGGCUCGUGGCCUUUUUAGAUUUUUGGCGGGUAACAGACCUAAUUGUUUCCCUACAAAAGAGUUAUGUAGUUUAGUCUUAGGGAUAAUGUAAAUGCUAUCAUAAUGUGUCCAUUUUAGGAAUAUCAUCCUGCAAAAACAGGUGUUAUUUGAUAGCAUGUCAUGUAUGCAUAAAUAUUCUUCAUAUUUUCCAUUACAUAAAAAUGAACAUAGAAUAAAAUUACAAGUAAAUGCUUUUACAAGUAAUUAAAAGUGGAAAGUAUGAAGAGACUUCCCUCCGCGUUUGGUUUUAUCAGAGUUUGACUUAUCUUAGGGUUACUCUUGCAGCUUUUUGGCAUGAAGGACCCCAGAUCAUCACAAUCUACUUGACGGGAAGUUAAUCCGAUCUUUCAACUGGAGCGAAUCUGGGUGGUGCCUUUCCUGAGCCUCGUUGGAAUUAGUCUCCCUACGAGNNNNNNNNNNNNNNNNNNNNNNNNNNNNNNNNNNNNNNNNNNNNNNNNNNNNNNNNNNNNNNNNNNNNNNNNNNNNNNNNNNNNNNNNNNNNNNNNNNNNACUCGGGUCUAAAAAAUUAUUAAAGACUCUUUUAGUAUAAUAAAAAUUAAGAUUUUAUUGAAAUUAUAAUUUAAAAAAUAGAGAUUCGACCCAUAACCAUUUAAAUUCAAACCACUUAACCCAUAUUAAAUAUAGGUAAUAUAAUUUUGGUUCUAAAAUUAAUUCAAACCUAUUUUAUAUAAUCCAAAAUCAACUCAAACCUAUUUUUUGUCGGGUCUAGUUCUUGGUCAGUUGAAAUUUCAUGUUCCUCAAGGUUCAAAUAAUUCAGACAAAUAAUGAUGGAAAACUCACUAAAAUGGCAUGAUUUAACCACCUUUGAUGUAUACAAAGUAAGAACAAAAUUAUGAGUAUACAGCCUCAAUUUUUUUUUAAUGGUUGUGGGGAACAAAAUCAAUUUACAAACAGGAGAGAACAAUCAUGAAGUUUCACCGGGAAAAGAUGGGACACCAAAAAUACCAAAAGGCAAGCAUGAAAUCUUGUACCAAAUAUAAGCAUGCAUGUCUUUAUUAUAUAUACUUCAAAGGUGAACAAAAUAUGCACUCAAACUAAGAAAAGGGAGCAAAUUAAAAAGAUUUAGUAAACAAAUCAUCCAUAUUUAUGGGAAUGAUUGAUGAUUGAUAAGCAAAAUCUUCUAAUAGUUGUUUUCACUUAUUAGAAACUAAGAUCAUAGUGGCAUGUGUAUAUAGGCUGACAAAAUAUAGUUAUGGGUUGGUUUUGGUUUUCAAAAUAUGGUUAUGGUUCUAUUUAAGAACUAAAACCAUAUUAACCAUUUUUAAUAUGGGUUGUGUGGAUUUGAACUAUAUGGUUAUGGUUAAAAACCAUAUUAACCAUAAUAACCAUUUUAAGAUGUUUUGACUUUUAAACAAAAUUUUAAAAAAAAUGAAAUUAUGACCGUCACAAUUAAAUUAAUUAAGUAAUAAUAUGAUAUAAAAAUUAUUAAUAUAAAUAAUAAAAUGACAGAACUGUAUCCAAAUCUUAUUUCAUUGAUUUUUUUUCUUCUUAUAAUUAAAACGACAUAAUAUUUAAAACUAUUUAUUUCAUUGAUUUUCUUUUCCUUAUGAUUUUAUGUAUAAAUUCGUAUUUAUAUAAUUAAUUAAAAUGACAAAAUAUUCAAAACUAUUUAUUUAUUUAUUGAAAUGUAUCAGGUGACCGUAAUGGUGUUCAAGGUAGACUUGCAGCGUGCUAGCUGCUACAAGAAGGUGAAGAAAGUCCUGUGCAAAUUUUCUCGUGAACCCCUCACCUUUUUACUUAUUCACAUGCACAUACUGCGGCUAUAUUAUGUCUUUGCUUUCCUUAAAAGGGUAUUUUGGUGAUUUGCUUCUUGGAUGAGAACUGAGUUAUAUAUAUAUAUAUAUAUAUAUAUAUAUAUAUAUAUAUAUAUAUAUAUAUGUGUGUGUGUGUGUGUGUGUGUGUGUGUGUGUGUGUGUGUGUGUGUGCGCGCGCGCGCGCGUGCGUGUGUGUGUGUGGUCUCAUUUUUCUGGGGACAUGAGAAAUUAGAGACCAUGUAUAUGAUGAGAAGGCUAAUACGAUCAUAAUUGAAAUUAGAGACCAGGUAUAUGGUGUUUGGUGUGGUGUUAUUGUGUGAGAGAGAGAGAGAGGAUGCUGAUCGUAAUUUUCCAGCAGGGGUAUGAGAGUGAUUAGAUGGAAUAUGGGUUAAAAAAUGGUGAACCGGUUAAUUAACUAUAUUUGAUUUAAAAAAUAUGGGUCCAAACUUUAACCAACCUGAAUAAAUAAAAAUGGUUAACCAACCCAUUUGGUUCCAGUUAAUAUGGUUUGAUCAAAUAGUUAACUAACUAUAUUUCUAGGUCUAUGUGUAUAUAAAUAGUUAUUUUUAAUUUUUUUUUUAUAAUAUGGAGUUUUCCAAUUACAAUUGGACUAAUCUCCCCACCACGUAUCAGGCUUUUUUCAUUUAGAGUACUUGUGUUUGCGGUUUUGUGGCCCCGUAACCUUUUCGGAUUUGACACUUACAAUUAGUGGAAUUCGAUCCCAAGAUAUCCGAAUUUACGACUCACCGCGAUCUUAUUUAAAUCAGCACGACAAAUGCGGAGAUUAUUGAUAUCGCAUCCAAAUAUGCAAAUAAAUAUUUAGGUAUUGUACAAUACAAUAUUUGUGUUUCACGUAAUAAAGUGCAGGUGCUAUAGUUUUUCGUAACAAUAUUAUUUUUAAAGUUUUACUUGGGAUUAUAAACUUUUAACCCGAUUUAGCGUGGCAAAUAAAUUUAUAGAUAUAAUUUUACUAUAUGAUAAUCAAUGCGGACUUGUGAUUGAUUAAUAUAAUUAUGACGUAUUUGUUAUAUAAUUAUAAUAUAUAUAUAUAUAUAUAUAUAUAUAUAUAUAUAUAUAUAUAUAUAUAUAUUGAGUUUUGAAACCUCCAAGUAUUAAUGUUCAUGUACCUAUAUAUAGUAGCAUUGUAAAGAGAAUGAUAAAUGUACAAAAUAUAUUAUAACGUACAUGAAAAUAUAAGGAGAAUGCUCUCUCUUUUCACUAAUCAUUGUUCUUAAUAUUAGUAUUCUUUUCUAACAUGUUAUCAGCACGAAGCUCUACCCAAUUUUGGGAAGAAAAAAAAAGUUUCUCUCAACUCACUAUAAGUAUUGUUUCAUUACAAUUAAAUUUGAUAUACAUAUAAACAUUUUGUUUAACAAAAAACGCGUGAGACAAUAAUGAUAAUGGACAACUCUGAAGUUUUUGAGAAUACAAAUUACGUAAGUACACUACUUUUGUGAUGUAGUAGUAUUAGUAUAAACAAAUAAUCAUUCCACCUCCCAAUUCUCCACUUUGAAAGUGACUAGAAAAGGGUAAAUAUUUUUAUUGUCUUCUUAUAAAUUUGUACUUAGUUAUUUAAUUUCUUACAUAUUUAUAUAUUUAUAUAGAUGUCAAAUCUUAUAAAUUUGAUUUUGUUGCUCUUAAUUUAUAUCGAUCAAGAAUUAUUUGUCAUGGACUCUUGAUACUGAGAUUCUUAUAAAGGCAAAGAAUUUUGGAGAUAUAAUUAAAGUUGACAAUCAUGCAUCCCUGUAGGAUCAUGUAAAAUUAAUGAUUUUUAUUCGCUAUCAUCUCCGUGAAAAUUAAAAUCAGAGUACUUUACAGUAAAAGACUCACUUGUCUUACGAAAUGAUGAAGACAUGUUAGAAAAAAUAUUUAUUAUAUUUCAUGCCUCAAAUAUGCUCCUGCAGCAGCAAUAUCGAGAGCGUAAGUUCGCAAAAUAUUUUCAGAAGCGAUAAAGAAAACUAUGUUACCAUAAGUGAUAUUAUGGCUUUUAGUGGCUGUACAAAAUAAUGAGUUUUUGCUGAAAUCAACAAUCUCGCCCGAUUGAUUCUACUACAUUUCCUGAAGUGAAUGAAACCUCAUUUGAUAAUUAUAGAGAAAAUUAUGGUUGUAGUUGUGGUAGUGAGCGUGAAAAAAAUAAUCAAUAUAGAAAAGGGAAUGUACCUGUCGUACUCCUAAAUAUUUGGUAGAUUUGUACCAAGACUCCAUAAAAGAAAAGGAAAUGGAAUUAAAAUUUAUGAUCCUGAAGAUCCCAUGAAUUAUUUUGACUUUUCAAAUGGAGUGGAUAUAAUUAAUUUUGAUAUCUAUGAUUUUCUUGAUGGUGUAGAUAGAAAUGUCCAUACCAAUUAAUUAUUUUUAUUUCAUUGUAUUAUGGCAUUAUAAUAAGUAUUUUUAUUAUAUGUUUUAUUUAUGUUUCAAGUAAUAAAGUUAAAUUUAUAUUUUUUCAUAUAUAAAGAUGUAUGGGUCAGAAGCUCAUCAAACUUAAUUAAAAGCUCUGGAAGAGCGAUUAUUCAUCAAACUUAAUUAAAGUCUCUGGAAGAGCAAUUAUAAUGUUGUCAAAGGACACAAACUUUGUAUUGAUGAUUCUUUAUAUUCUUCUAAGACAAGCAGAAAUUUGCUCAGUUUUAAGGAUAUACGUUAUAAUGGUUAUUAUAUUAAAAUCAAUAGCGAAGGCAGUGAAAAAUUUCUUUAUAUUACUUUAAUAGUAUCAUGUUAGAAGCUCAUAUUAGAAAAACUGUCUAUUUUCUCUUCUGGGUUAUAUGUUGGUCGGAAAACCGAUCACUAAACACGUGCAAGUAUAUGCGGUCUAACAAGUAAUGCAGUGAUAAGGAAAGUGCCGAAGCCACGAGGAACUAUCACUAAUAUUUACCAAGUACCGACUUUGUAUCGCUAAAGUCUAAUUCGAACAUCAAUAAAUGAAAGUGUGAUUAAUCUAAGCAUAACUAAUUAUCAAAGCAAGUAAAUGGAUAACGAAUGGCAAUCGAAAGAAUUACAAGCUAAGGUUACAACUUCACCCCACUCAGGCAUUCUGUCGAACACCUGGCGUGCUAUGUUUCAUCAAACGACCCACCCUUCUCUCUCUAGUCUUAAUGGUCACGACAAUUUGUCGACCGAGAACACACAAGUGCUCAUGCACCUCUGUCGAGGUAUGCACAAACAUAUCCUUUCUAGAUCCACAUGUUAGGGAAUAGAACAGAAAAGAACGCCCGAGCUAGAUACAAUCCUACAUAUGUCUAUGUGAAUUGAUCAGAAUAAGAAUUUAAGCAUAAGUUCUCAAAUAGGUCGCACGUGGCGCACAUAAAUAUAUCUAUUCUACGCACAACUUAUGCAGUCGAAACCCACAAUCACAUGCCAAUAUAUUCAGGUGUAAAUCUACAAUCCUUCUGUCGAUAUCAUGUAAAUUACCAAAAUCAUCACUAAUGUCUUAGCGAGAAUCAUUAAGCAUAAAUAUAUCGAACCAAAUCAUAUGGUGCCAACCAAAGAGAUAAGACAAUCAAUUUAAAUAACAAAGGGUUCCAUUAUAACCUUAGAGCAAAUACUCGGUUCAUAGCUAUUGAACAAAAUAUAAGUAGCAAUAAAGACAAUAUUUAUGGAUUACAAAAUUAGAGACAAUAGAUAAGAAGAAACUCUGUCAAAGCCCUUCAAUCUCUAAGCAUUUCGCUCAAAUCAAGCUUUCCAAUUUGUGUCGCUCAUUGCUUGUGUUGCUCCAAGGAAAUCCCAAACUUCUCCCUAAUCUACCUAAUCUAUAUUUACAGACAUUAACUAAGAGAAAGGAAGAGAAAUUACAGAAGGAAAACUAAUCUAAGUUAACCUAUGUGAAAAUAUGAUAUAGGAUGUCUCUCCGAGAUGCAGAGGCUUCAGUGUGUUAUAUACGCCUUUUUCCCUCAAGCUAGGUCAAACCAAGGCCUUCUCUGCCUGGGCACCGGAGGUGGUGCCGUGGUGCAGAUAAUAAGCCAAUAGUGGCGCUGCAGCGCCAUGUCAUUAAUCAAAGAGACCAGAGGUCGCACUGCAGCGCGAGUCCAAGAGGGAACAGUGGCGCUGCGGCACGAGGGUGACGUCAGUAAGGACCAGGGGGGCGCCGUGGUGCAAGACUAGCACUGGGCAUUUGCGAUGCGACGCUAGUGUAUAAAAAAUGACUGUUUUGCCCCUGAAUGCUAGAAAACACCUGUAAAGCUCUGUAAUAUGUCGAUUAAGCACAAUAACACUAUAAUCAUAUAAAACUAUAUAAAACCUACAAAUUCAGGCAGCUAUUUAAGUCAUAAAGUAUCCGAUUCGCGGGUAUAAAUCCCACUCAUCAAAUACCCCCAAACUUAAGUCUUUGCUUGUCCUCGAGCAAACUAUCUACACAAAAAUAACAAUAGUUAUUUAACACGUGAAAAAAAAAUAAAACUAUAUACUAGCAUCGUGGCUACGAAUCUUAAUCAAAGCUACUCCUAAAGAACAAGGCAAACACAGGCAUGCGUAAGAGUUCAUUCUAUUUCAAGCAUAAGACUGUAUUCGAUCCAUUUUAUGUGUGUGUGUGAAGACCAACCGUCCUGACUAAUCAUAGCUCAAAUAAGUUCGUACAAUUGAUUAUUAAUACUAAUAUGCACACUCCGUAACUUAAACAUUCAACAAGGAUUAAGAAUAAGACACAAGUGCAGUAAAGGAUCAAAAGACUCUAGCAUGAAGAUAGUAAAAUCUGACUUGGACAGUCCUUAAUUACCAUAGGCUAAAUAGAACUACCCAAUAAUGAGCUUUUGAUCAGUGACUCCCAAGCCAGACGACUUUAGGGCACUAGGUGUAGAACACCCUGUCAGGAAUAAGCAUGUGAAUGACAUUCCUAUUUACAUAUGAUUUGAUUAUGAUAUAUAUAUAUAUAUAUAUGUGAAUGAAUAUGCAAGUAUGCUUGUAUUAAAAAAAGAUGUAAAGUCUUUUGAUAGAUAAUAGAAACAUAUGUACAAGGACUUAGAAUGAAUUGAUCAAAUAUGUUAGGUUGAUCCUACAUAAGCAAAAUAGCUUUGUAAAGUCCUUAAAAAGAAAUGAUGUACAAGGACUAUAAAUAUAGAAAGAUCAAGCAUGUUAGGUUGAUCUUAUGAUGCAAUAGAUAGGCUUGUCUGAUCGUCGAGCACUGCACCAGAAAUCGUAGUCUGCCAAGAGAGUCAAGGAAAAUUCGAGAGCUAUCGAGGCAGAAUUGUAGUCUGCAAGAUAGUAAGAUCUCGGAGUUCGUAGACUUCCAGGAGAGACGAGGAAGGAUCCUAGUGUGUCGAGGAGAACUUCCUCAAGGCCAUAGUUUGCUAAGGAAGUCAUGUUCAGAAUCAUAGAGAUAGCAUGCCUACGAGCCGACCAAGUAUCUGCCAAAGCUAAGUCAAGAAUCGUAGACUACACUCAAAGUCGUAGAGUCUACUAAUCAUACCAGAGGCAGAGAUCAUAGUCGAGCAAGAUCAGAUGAAGACAACAAGCACAACGACAGAAAUCGUAGAGUGUUAAGAUCUGAUCUCGGAGUCGUAGUGUCUGCACAGCCAAAGCUGAAUCGUACAGUGCAGAACAAAGACCUCAAUAGAUGUGCUCACAAUGCCAAGGCAGAAUCGUAGAGCAAAUAUGAUUCUCAACGAAUAAGCACUCCCAGAAUAUCCAAAGGAAUGAAGCCUCUGGUUGGCACUACAUAGAUACGUCCCACCGGAAAGAAACCAGAGAGCACUUAACGAAUGGCAUGCAAGCUAACAGAAGAUCUAAGCACCAAAUCAGAAUCAAGAUUGAGUUGUGAAGCCAUUCGAGAUGAAGUCUUCCACAAGGAGAUUAGAAGAAGACUUCUGUAACUGACUAAGAAAAGUCAGCAAGUGCAGUAGCUGUCAAGCAGACAGAAGACAACGAUCUUGGAAGUUACCAGGAUCGUAGUGUUUGCCAAACAAAGAAAGAACUGAUGGAGAGCAUACAGAGAUACUGGACAACUUCUGAAAAACAAGGCUAAAGUGAUUAAGCAUUGGGUCAGUCCAUUGAUGAUAAGUGAACGGGAGAUCACAAGGAGAAAGCGAGCUAGACACGCCACAAAUAUGAAGUAUCUUGUUAUUCAGAAGGGGCCAGAGCAAGAAGUCAAGCCAUCAAUAUCUGAGCUACUGAGGCAAACAGAAGUGUUGAAGCACUGCACAAGAGAAGGAAGAGGUGUUCUACAUUGAAGAUCAAAUCAACACUCUUCAAGAUCGUAGUGUCGUCUCUACCAGUCAACAAGACACUACGAUCAGGUCCAUGAAGACAUGCAUCAGAAUCGUAGAGUUCGAAUAGCUGAAGACUGAAGCAUUGGCAACGGUUCAAUCUGAAGGGUAAUAUUUGGACAAGAACUCAUUGAGAGCAUCGAUGCAAGGACAACCUCUGAUCGAGAAAUCAGAAGGGUAAAAUAAAGUCGUCGACCUGCCCAAGAUAUCAAAGUGUCAUAUCUGACAGGGUUGGUGAAACAGUAGACUGCAGUGUCAGAAAGUUAGAAAAAGAUGUCAUGUCACAUCUGCAGUCUGCACCAAAUAACUCGAGAUCUACGAAGAAAUUUGAAUAGCUUUCAACGGCUAAUUUCCAACGGGAAGAUUGGGAAGCAGUAUAAAUCAACAGAGCUUCAAAGAUCAAGAGUUGCUGAUGAUUGCAUUGUUACAGAAUCGUUGAGUUGGUGAAUGCUAUUGUUGACUCUAUAAGUUCCACCAAAGAUCAAUAGAAUAAGUCUUAGUGACAGUGAGACUACCAAGGUGGAAGUAAAGCAGCUUUGAAGAAGGAAUCAAAUAGAUCGAAGCUUCACUCAACAAAGAUGAGAAUGCCACUGAAGAUGGCAGCUAAACUGAGAGCCGAGAAGGCCAAGAAGAUAGCAUUCGGUAAAGUGGCUAAGUACAAAGAAGAUCAAGAGAGCCACUCUACGAAUCACCAUGAACCAAAAGCUAAAACGGAAUAAGUGCAGAACCAUGUCUGCAAAGUAUUCAAGAAGGGUUCAUGGAUUGCUAAGUGCCAGACAAAGUCUACUAAAAGCACAGAGACUUAGCAAACCCAGAUGGUGAUGGUGCACAGCUGAUACCAGAUGAAGAUGAGCAGAAAAGAGUGAAGAGCAGCUGCACCAAAGAAGAUGUGGUCCAGACCCGAAGCAGAAUGCAAAGAGGACCACACCAAGAUGCUAAGUACAAAAGAUGUUUAGAGCCUAAUGACAUCUUAGCAGCUCAACACCAACAACAUCAACAACUGCAACAACAAGAAGCCAGCGCCUGAGGGGUCCUUGUCCGAAGGGACUAAAUGAAGUUCCAAGCCUGCUGGGCUUGAAGAGUUCCUAGGGAACUAGAGAAGUUCCAAGGCUACUGGCCUUGAAGAGUUCUUAGUGAACUGAAGUCCCAAGGUUGCUGGCCUUGAAGGAAUCUUAGUGAUUCAGGGUGCUGCCCUUCCUUAGUGGAAAUCCUGCUAGUUGAAAGAAGAAGAGUGGAUUAGGAGCUUGAGUCUCUGAACCACUUAAAACCCCUUUUGUCUUUUACUUUAUGUCAUUUACAUUAUGCACAUUAACUACUAUAACUGCUAUGUAUAUUAUAACUGCUUACCACUGAACUAACUCUAUGAACAAUGUAUGUAUGAUUAUGAAUAUAUCAAUGAAGGGGAUCUUUUACUUAUUCCGCUGUGCUUGAAAAGAUUCUUAUGUUUGUCACAUGCUAAAUUAUUAGCAAUACAAAAUAAAUCAGAAAAGUAUUGACAUCAAAAAGGAUCUAUUCAACCCCCCCUUCUAGAUCUAUUGUGCCUACUGGGAACUAACAAUUAGUAUCAAAGCAGGUUCUCAUGCUAUAUUCAAAAGCUAAUCGCUUUGAGUUUGAUCCUAGGCACAAACAUUGUUCUAAACUUAGUAUUAGUAGUAAGUCACUUGUUGUAUGAAGAUGAGCUCACACGUUGGAAAUAUUAUGUACAGGUAAAUGUGCAUAUACACCUGAAGUUGCUCAGAUUGGUCCAUGUCUUUGAUUAUCAUAUCAAAAAGACCAAUCCCUGCUCGAUGUCAAUCUUGUUGUAUGAAGACCAGGAUAAAAAGCUCAAGAGAUAUCAACAGAAAAGAUUCAAACAUCCACCAGCCUGAAAAGAUGAAAAGGCGAGACAUGCUAAGCAAUACUUAUCCAGAGAAGAAAGAAGAACUUCUCAAUCAUAUGUUUGGUCAAACUGCAGCUGGAUGUAAACCUUGUGAACUCAAGGAUGUCAAAGAAUUAGAGAUGAUGACACUCUCUUAGCUUGUAUCUUCAAGACCAUGACUGAUUGACUGAAGAUCAACUAGAGCAACUGGCUGUCAGAAGAAAAUGAGGAAACAUGCACAAUCAAUGCCUAAACUCAGUAUAUCUAAGAUAAAUGACUGAUAAGGGACUAACAGCAAAAAUGUACGGUUCCUCACUAAUAUAGAUAUGAACGUCAUAUUUGCACCUUACUUAUAAACUAUAACAAUUUUCCUUCAAGUAUUCAUAAUCUAUCUAAAAAGGUGAAGAGAGAAAGUACACUGAUAAUGGAAACUCAAAUGUCUAUAAACUUUCUCUCCAUCCAAGUUUUAGGUUGAAAAUGAUAACUUGAAAGAGACCUGGAAUGGUUUUAAGAGCCUCACAGGUCGAUUGAAAGUGAAGUAAUCUUUGUUGAUGAUUUAAUGUGCUUUGUACAUCCUAUGGUCUAAGUGUUUAAUGACACACAGAGUAUGAUCAAAUCUACAAGAAAAUCUUGAAAAUUCAUAGAAACUGAUCACCUCCAUGAAUCAAACAGAUACUAAUAGAUCGUAGAAUUGAUUCUCACUCUGUGAACAUUUAAACCCUGUGAUCAUAACUUAGCAAAAGAUGAAACCAUCAAGGAAAAGAGUGUUUAAUUAAAAUGACACAUUUCUCUCACACUCAUCCCCAUGCAUCAUAAAAUGUAUUAUCUAAAUAGAAUAUAUGCAUGAAUAUGGCUGAUGGUGGUCAAUAUAAUAAUCAUCCAAAUAUAUGAGGAAUAGGGGUUUUAGUAAACUAACAGGACCCAUUUAACCAUGGGUACCAAAAAUAGAAAUGUAUAACCUGCAGGUACUUGAUCUAUCUGAUCACACUAAGGAAUGCUAAAGCAAAAGACUUCAAUCAAGAAGAGCCAACCAGCAGAAGGCUUAAGACUGAUCAGAAAUAAUUUUAACAAAACUUCUACAUCUCAAAGCCUGUCCUUGAAGACCUGCUGAGCUAACCUAAAUGAAGCUCAAAUGGCUGCAAACCUUUAUAUGAAAGCAGGCCACUCGACCAGAGAUGAAAAAGGGUCUGAGAUGCUCAAGCAUGCAAAACUUGUUCUCAAAGAAGCUCACAUCAGAAGAUUAUCUAGCAUCAAACUUUAGGAACCUUUUAUGGGAGCAGAACUCCACGAGCACAAGCGGAUAAGGAAGACUACAUUCGUAGUGCCAACAAAGGAUCGUAGGAUGAUCAACCCUGAAGAUACUCAUCUCUACGAUACAAGAAGAUUCAAUGACCUCUGUCAGAAGGAGAUAUGCAGGGAAGCUCCCUUACGUGCAUGAAGAAAAGGAAAACACACCUCACUGAAAAGACAGCAUCAAUCAUGGAGGAGUAGUGAUCUGUCAAAGAUCAACAACACUGAAAUAGUCUGAAGCAAUGUACCAGCUAUAGAGUCUCAAAACUUUGUGGCUGAUGAACCAAAUGAAGAUCCAUAGUCAGUAGGAACGUCUCAAAACGUACUAUUGAUAACCUUUCAGCCACCCAACUAAAAAUCGUGAAGUGCCUACAAUCAAACAAAUGAUCGUAGUGUAAAAACAUGAAGACACCACGAUUAUAGCAAAUGCAAUUGUCUAAAAUUGACAAAGGAUCUCCUCACCAGAAAAGGUCAAAAGAGAUAUUAGUACAAAUUACUCCUAAAAGCAAACUCAUCUGGAAAGCGCCUCAGGGACAAACCUGACCCCUAGUUCACUCUAAGAGGUUGGCCCUUCCUGAGCUACCUUAUCCCAGAAGUAUUGCUUAAUCAAGUUCAUCUCAAGGACCAAGUCAGCCAAUGAUCGUAGAGUAGAGGUUGAAGAGAACUCCACGAUCGUAGUACAAUCUUAGCAAUCAUAGAAGCAGACUCGACGAUCGUAGUCCUAUAAAGAGGCUACUCCUAACUUACAAUAGGAAAAUUGCUCAACCAUUCAAAUUAUGAGGACAUAAGUUUGAAGGCUAGUUAGAAAGAGGCACUGCUGAAGGAAAAUGCCCAAGGCUUCAUAAAGCACAACAGUGGAUGAGCCAUGGAGGUUCAAAAUGAGAAGUAACGUCAAAACCAUCCACUAUAACAUCCUUCAGAGAAUUGAUCGUUGAGCCAACAAGGAAAACGUAGAGUCAAUAGCUGUCCUAUCAUUCUACUCUACGAACUAAAGAUGUCAAAGGUCAUUCCACGUCAAUCAAACGUCCACUCUUCUGAAAAAGACAACUAACUGACAAGUUACUGGGGAGUUACAGCUCGUUACUGGGCAUCAUGUAACCAAUAACUAGUUUACAUGUCAUAUCGUAUGCAAUGUAAGAAGGAACUACCAUAAAGAUAAAUUCAAAAUCUGCAAACAGUAACCAGAACUCAUUGAACCUCUCUCCUUCUCCCUUUUUCAAACCCUAGAAUCCUCUUCGAAGCCAAACCAAUCAAACUUCCAGAGCCCAAAACACACUCAGCUAUAUCUCUCUGAACCACAUACAAUAUACCUUGAACUCCUAAAAUGGUAGAAUGGAAAGUUAUAACGGGUAUUCAACUCGGCUUUACAAAGUUUGAAGAAUCAGAGAUAAAGUUCAAAGACAUACUUGAACUUGUAAAGGAAGUUGGGUUCUUUGAGUGCCUGGAGGCCAACACUCCAGUUUAUACAGAACUAGUAAAGCAGUUCUACUCAAAUGCUUUAAUGAACUCUGGGCUUCUGACUACUAAGGUGAAAGGAUCUAGUCUGAAGAUAAGAGCAUUAGACAUCAAUCAAUGUCUAGGGUUUCCAAAUCAAGGUCUGAUAAAUAUGGAUGAAGUCAACAUUGAAGAAGGCAAGAGGCUUAUGCGAUAUAAAAGAAACCCUAGUUUGAAGGAUUUGAAGAAGAAGGAAUUUCCUGAGGAAUUUGAAUUCCUUGCUAAGAUAGUGGGAAAAUGCAUAUUGUGCAAAGAUACUGCACACGACACUGUACUCGACCAGUAGUUGAAAAUUAUGUCUGCCAUAGUUCUGAAGAAGUAAAUCAACUUUGGAGUUAUGCUGCUCGAUCAAAUCUCCAAGUGGAUAGAAAAAGCUGAGUUAAAGAAAUCCAUAGACAAACCACUUACAAAAGUGUUCUAUGGAAGACUGUUAAGCAUAAUAAUGAAGCAGAAGUUAGGGAGAAAGAUCAAGGAUAAUGAGGGAGAACCUCUGAAUGUGCACAAAAUAAUGUCUCCACAACUAUUUGUGAAUUGGAAGAAGAACCCUAAAGAGAACAUGAGGCUGACAACUGGAAGCAGCAACAAAUCAUCUGCAAAGAAGAGGAAGGCAAAGGAGGUAGAAAACUCUGAGUCUGAUAACUCAGUACCAGCAGAAACCACACCAGCCAGAAGGAAAUCCAAAGGUGUGAGGAAAACUGAGGCUCCACCAAGAAGUUUCUCAAUUGACAAUUUGGAAGAAGACGAAGAAAAGGACUCAAUUUCAAAAAUCACAAAGAGAAGAAGUAACAGAUUACUUCAAAGGCCACCCAGAAAGAAAGCAAAGGUGAUGAACAGGCCAUCCCCAGUUCCUCAAGAAAGCCUAUCUUCAAAAGACGAGAACGUAGAGACAGGGAAAGAGGAGGAAAUUGAAAGCACCAACAAUGUGUCUCUAAAGAACGAAUCCAGCAAUAAAACUGAGGCAGUAUUCAUGGAAGAAAAUGCAGAAUCUAACAAUGAAGAAAAGAUACAAAAUGACCCAUCUGAAUCUCCAAGUGCAAAUGUUCAAAUAAGCUCUCAUUAUGAAUCAAAAGAUGAUGAGAUCAAAAAGGAAAUACAUGCCCUUACUGUUGCUAAACAUUAAACUAGCCUGUCUGGUGAUAUAAAUGAAGAUGAUUCUGAAGAAGAAGGACAUGCCCUCAUCAAUGAUGAAAAUCAAGAAAGUCUGCUCGAUGAUCCAAAGGCUUCAGAGUCUGAAAAGGAAGAAGAGUCUGACUCUCCUAUAGCUGAACCUCCAUGAAGAAGGAGGAGCCAUCGAUUGAUAGCUCAAUUUGCUUCCAAAAGGAGAAGUGAUCACUCUAAUGCAGUCAUUGAAUUAAGUGAUGAUGAAACUGAAUCUGAUGAAGAAAAUGGAAUUAGUGAUGAAUCCAAGGAAGAUACUGCUGAAGAAGGUUCUGAAAUUGAAAUUCAUUAAGAAGACUUCACUGAAGAAUCUAAUGAAGGAAGUCAGCAAGAUUCUGGAUCAAAGAGGGAAAAAAUAGGGAAAGAGUCUAAUUCUAAACUUUAGGAAUCAGAUGAACCAAACAUUACCCUGUUCUCUCUCCAGCCAGAAUUACCAGAAGAAUUGUAGUGGAAGUCUUUGAUGAGCCACCGGCUGAACCAGUAAUAAGAUGGAUAAGUCAUGGAAAUGAACAACUUCGAGUUGUAAGGAUGACUACAGAUGAAGUACUUCAUAAUUGGAAAAAUAUGGAGUUAGAUUGCACAACAAUAUUGUACAACUCUGAAGAUCCUCUUAUGAGAUGGUUCUUCCCAUAGAUGCCGUGGUUAAAGGCUUAUACUGAUAAGGAUGAGAGCUAUUUCAGCUGGUGUUACUCUCAAUUUCCAAAUCUAGAGCUGGUGUCACAAAAAUUCCCAAGAGUAAAGAAGUUUGCAACCAUGAUGAUCAAUGACAAGCCUCACUACAAGAUCUACAGACAAGCUAGAAAUCACUAUAUUCCCCUAUGAUCAUAGAGUUGACACUGAAGGCAGAAGGACUAUGGCCAAAGGAAUAAUCGUAGAGUCUGUUUACUCUACCAUUGAUGAUGUUCAAAUACAAAUUGAGAAGUCUCCAUCUACCCAAGCUCAGAUAUCUAACAUCCCUUCAUCUUCCAAUAUCUGUUGGUACUCAACGAUUUCUCAAAUUGUCAACACUUUCCAUAAUCUAUCCAAGGAUGAAAAUCGUAGAGUCCAAGCUAGUGUUCAACAAGAAGCUGCCAGAUCAGAUGAUCAAAAUCCUGUGGAGCAGGAGCUGUUGAGGAAUUCUGCUGAGCUGGCUGAGAAGAUAUUUCUAAUGAAUGAAGAGUCAAAGCAGUUAACAACAACAAAAGAUAGACUCCAAGAAACUAUGGCUGAUAUAUCUCUCAAAAUCAAAGAGAGAGAUCACAUCUAUCUGAAAGCCAUAGAUGAUCAGAAAGCUACAACUCUACGAGAAAAAGAGGCACAUGAAGAGAAACUCAAAAUCCUCUCUGACAAGAUUGACAACAUGAAUCAAUCUUUUUCUAUGCAACUUGAGCUAAGUCAACAAGAAUUCAAGAAUAAAGUUGGAAACUCCUCCUACAUGAUGGAGCAGCUUAUGUUCAACAUGGAACAACUCUCUCAACUGAUUAAUGACAAAAAGGGGGAGAAAGAGAGGCAUAGAAAGAGGCAGCCAAGAAAGGGAAAGAAGAGCAGGAGCAAACAAGAAAGGAAGAUAAAGAAGAAGAAAGCAGAACAAGAAGAUAAUUCAUCAUCUAAGGGGGAGCUAAAGGAUGGUGAGCAUGGAUUUGCAAAGACUGAUGGGGAGCCAGAAGAAGAAGAAGAGCAUACAUCUAUAGAGGAGCAAACAAAAGAAAUGAAGUUAACAUCCCAAGGUGAACAGGUGCAAGAAGAUCAAACAGAUGAAUAACUGAUCAAUAGAAAUCCUGGAAGCAUACAUGGAACCAAAGAGGUACAUCUCUAACUAGUUAGGUAUGUUCUGGAUCCAGGAUAUAUAAAAUGUCAGUGUAUAUCAGUGUAUUAAAUUUCACAACAUUAUAAAUGACAUUCAUGAUUAUCUGUUUUAGAAAUACAGCUACUCACUGUAUAUGAGAUUCAUUCAUAACAUGCAUAUGCACUUAUAUUUUUAUCAUAAUCAAAUAGGGGGAGAUUGUCAGGAAUAAGCAUGUGAAUGAUAUUCCUAUUUAUAAAUGAUUUGAUUAUGAUAUAUAUAUAUAUAUAUGAAUGAAUAUGCAAGUAUGCUUGCAUUAAGAAAAGCUAUAAAGUCCUUUGAUAGAUAAUAGAAACAUAUGUACAAGGACUUAGAAUGAAUUGAUCAAAUGUGUUAGGUUGAUCCUACAUAAGCAAAACAACUUUGUAAAGUCCUUAAAAAGAAAUGAUGUACAAGGACUAUAAAUAUAGAAAGAUCAAGCAUGUUAGGUUGAUCUUAUGAUGUAAUAGAUAGGCUUGUCUGAUCGUCGAGCACUGCACCAGAAAUCGUAGUCUGCCAGGAGAGUCAAGGAAAACUCGAGAGCUAUCGAGGCAGAAUCGUAGUCUGCAAGAUAGUAGAUCUCGGAGUUCGUAGACUUCCAGGAGAGACGAGGAAGGAUCGUAGUGUGUCGAGGAGAACUUCCUCAGGGCCGUAGUCUGCUGAGGAAGUCAUGUUCAGAAUCGUAGAGACAGCCUGCCUACGAGCCGACCGAGCAUCUGCCGAAGCCAAGUCAAGAAUCGUAGACUACACUCAGAGUCGUAGAGUCUACUGAUCAUAUCAGAGGCAGAGAUCGUAGUCGAGCAAGAUCAGAUGAAGACAACAAGCACAACGACAGAAAUCAUAGAGUGUCAAGAUCUGAUCUCGGAGUCGUAGUGUCUGCACAGCCAAAGCUGAAUCGUAGAGUGCAGAACUAUGACCUCAACAGAUGUGCUCACAAUGCCAAGGCAAAAUCGUAGAGCAAAUACAAUUCUCAACGAAUAAGCACUCCCAGAAUAUCCAAAGGAAUGAAGCCUCUGGUUGGCACUACAUAGAUACGUCCCACCGGAAGGAAACCAGAGAGCACUCAACGAAUGGCAUCCAAGCUAACAUAAGAUCUAAGCACCAACCCAAAUAGAAUCAAGAUUGAGUUGUGAAGCCAUUCAAGAUGAAGUCUUCCACAAGGAGAUCAGAAGAAGACUUCUGUAACUGAUUAAGAAAAGUCAGCAAGUGCAGUAGCUAUCAAGCAGACAGAAGACAACGAUCUUGGAAGUUACCAGGAUCGUAGUGUUUGCCAAAAAAAGAAAGAACUAAUCCAAAAACUUGUUGGUUGAUUUCACAAUCAAAGCAAACGUGCAAGUAUACACGAUCAACAAGUAAUAUAGUGAUAAAAUAGAGUGUUGAUCCCACAGAGAAUUCUAAUUAAUAAACUCCAACUACUACUACCAUAUCAAUUCAAUUUUAUUUAAAUAACCAAUAAUUGUGAUUUUAAGAACUAAGAAACUAAUUUUAAUAAAGCAAGAAAUUAUUCUAAAAGAAAACAAGGAAACAAACUAAGAAUUGAUUGAAUGCAGAUAAAAAACAAUUAAGACUCCAAUAUCCCCAAUUAUGAUUUUUAAAUCAAUUAUUUAAUUAUCCCAAUUACUAUGUCUACUGAAUUGUUAACAGGGAUUCUCAAAUGCCAAAAGCCCUUUCUCAAGUGAUCAUUUGCCUUUUAUUUAGCCCAGAUUAAUUUUGCUAUAUCUCUAUGCAAAACAAUUGAAUUAAACUCGUUACAAUCCCAAUUCUUUAUGUCUUACAUGUGGCAAAUAGAUAUUCUCAUUCUAUUCACAAACCUAAUUAUUCACUGUGCAAAUAACUAAGUCACAUGUCAUCAUGCCCAAUUCUAACCCUAGAAUUCCUUUCUCAAUUCCUUCUAGAGUAACAAGGUAAUUAUUGGCCAGAUAAUUAAACAAUCAGCACAAAGAAGAUGAACAAUUCACUUCAACAUAAAUAAUUGGAAAAAAUUAAAUAAUCAAUUCAUAACUAUAAAAGGUUCCAUUGGAAUCUUAAUAAAAGAAAUUAGUUCAUAAUGAAAAUAAAAACCAACAAUAAUUGAUAAAUCAUCCUUAAUGAAUUACACAAAUUAAAAGAAUAGAAGAAGAAGAAGAACUCCCAAUCCUCAAAAUCUGCUCUUGCUCCUUGAUUAAUCUCCCAAUUGUGUAGAAUAUGAGUCGCCAAUUCAAUGCAAAUAACCAAUUUAUACUCUUAUUGUCCACUCUAGCAAUCCCAAUCCAAAUAUGCUUCAAACCAUCUCCAAAUAAGAGGUCAAACGAAAAGUCAAUGCCAGUCAAACAGUCAAACACGUGCCUUGUCCAGUCAACUGAAACUCCGCCCCAGCGCCCCGACGCUGGGAUUAGCAAAGGAAAUAGCACCCCGGUGCUGGUGGACAGAAAGUGAUGCUCAAGCCCUUUUUUUAGCCAAAUGCUUCCCAUUGUUCUCACAGCUCCCAAACCUAUAAAUCAAAACAUAAACACAGUAAACAUGAUACUAAAAGACUCGAAAAUACACAAAUCUAAGCUCAAGUAUAUCCAAUUCAUGGGUAUAUUACCCAAUCAUCAAAUACCCCCAAACUUAAAUCGUUGCGUGUCCUCAAGCAACAGAACACAAACAACACGAAAAACUAGACAUCAUGCAAAUGCAAACAAUAUAUAUGAUCUUAAUUCCAGCAAUUCAAUAGUUGACGAAUAUCCAUGGGCCUUAGAAAAAUCACAAAAACAUGCUAAUACAUCAUGAUAAAGCAGAUCAAUAAUAUCCCAAUCAAUCAAAUCAAUCCAAAUCUGUUAUUACUGAUAUUGUGAGUGUGUGUUCAACAACCAUGCCAACCAAUGAACAGCAAAAUAUGAGAGAUAAUAAAGUUCUUAAUAGGCAUCAUACAAUUUAACUCAAGAACUCAUCAAAUAAACUAGAUUCAACUAAAAUUAAACAAUCACCAAAAUCCAGGGGUCAACAUGGAAUACUUAUGCUUAUUUAUGCUAGACGGGGGCAUUUUGCACUUUUCCCGAUUUAUUAUUUUGUUUAUCUUCUUUUUUUUUCAAAGCUUAUAUACUCCAAAUAUUUUUCCCCCAAACUUGAGUUCAUAUCUAAAAUAGUCUUCACUAGCUAUUUAACUUGCUCCUUCAUUUCACUAGCAUUCCUCCUUUAGAACUCUAUUAUCUAUCCAUUUAAACUAUCAUAGCCAACAUGGUCAUCUUUCCAAAUGUGCUAUCCUUAUAAUAUCAGUGUCAAACAGAUGAGGAUUCAAAUCAUGUCAAGAAAAUCACAUCACUGACUCAACAAUCCUUACUAGACCUGUUCAUGCAAUUCUAAUUUCAUCACUGGCCCCCAAAUAUAUGCACUAUCAAAAGCUGGAAUUAACAUGCAUUCCUAAAUGCAACAUUUAUAAAAAUCAAAACAUCCACAAACUAUUAACAAUCACAGUUUACUCAUGCAAAUAAAAAUAAACUAAAUAACUACCCCCAAACUUAUCUAGAGCAAUGUCCUCAUGCACAAUUUCGCCGAUUAGAUUCAUGUAUUCGUCGACUUCUUUACUUGGCAAAAGACAUACGCAAUAUUCCCAAGAGUAUUGGCAUGUAUAAAAAAAAAUUAUCCAUGUAUGCAACAAUACGAUGCACCACUCGUCUACAAUAGUGAUGAAUAGGUGUGACAAUAAGCAUAAACUAUUGUGGUGGCAGGAUGACAAGUCAAUACAGUGCGGUGAAAGGGAGAUAUGUGCACAUUGAACCCUUGGCAUUGAGUUAGGAAAUUUAUCGAACACAAAAUGUGCAACCCAUAAAUUACUUUGAAUCACCCUAGUUUUCUAUCAAAAUACAUCCCGAGAAGUCAAUUAUCCAAUAUGCAUGCUAUCACAACCAAACGUGGUGCACAAACAAUCAUUUAUCUUAUGCAGGCAACACAAGAGAAUCAAAAAUCAAAGAAGAUGAAAGUGUGCACUUAAUAUGUGUAGAGUGAAAAUCAAUCUUACUUGGAUUAAUCGAAUGCAAACAUUUGUUGAAUGUUCUUACAUACGUACCUUUGCAAUAGAGAGAAUAGAUGAAAAUGGAUUUGUGAAAGGACUCCCAAUUUGAUAUGAAGAGUUAUGUUUUAAAUGGGGAGUUAAAAAAAACACGUUUAGAUCGGUUUCCAGCUAUGAAGUUGAAACGUGUAUGGAAAGUGGAGUGCAUGGACUGAAGAACUGAGCAGUUGGAACCAAAUAGGAUUCUCAAACGCCUCCUCAGCCCCGGGGCGUAGGAUUUGGACCGAAACAAGCGCUGGGGCGCUGCCCUUCAGGGCCUGGUGACAAUGUGCAGUGCCGGGGCGCUGAUUAUAUAUAAGAAUGGAGCGCCGGGGCACUGUACUGUAGUAGGUUGUGUGCCUCUCCAGCGCCGGGGCAUUAAUGUUGCCUAGAGAAUGAGUACCGGGGCGCUAGCCUUCAGGGCCUGGUACCGAGCUUCAGCGCCGGGGCGCUAUCAAGAAGAAUCUGGCAUUGACCCCUAGCGCCGGGGCGCUCUUGGUCUUUCUCAGUUGCCCUUUUCCUUGCCAAUUUCCUGUGAACAAAAGUUGCACGUGUGAGGUCAAUGAAGAGCAUAAAUCUAUCAUGAAAUUAAAGAUGAAAUAAAUGAAGUGUAACUAAAUGGACUAAAAUAAUUCGAAAUAAACUAAAACUCUCGGGGUUGCCUCCCUGAAGUGCUUGGUUUAUAGUCGUCAGCCCGACUUUGCUGUCGUGAUCACUCGGUUAUUGGGUCAGAAAGAUUCAUCACCGUAGUCUGACAUUCGAUGGGUCCACUCCAGUAAUGUUUGAGUCUUUGACCGUUAACCUUGAAUGUAUAAUUUGAAUUUGGUUUUUCGAUCUCGAUGUUACCAUGUGGUGUAACAUUCACAACUUUAAAAGGUCCUGACCAACGAGAUUUCAGUUUCCUAGGAAAUAAACGCAAUCUUGAGUUGAAAAGCAAGACUUGUUGGCCCAGUUCAAACGUUCUAUCAAGAACUUUCUUAUCAUGUCAAGUUUUGACUUUCUCCUUGUAGAGUUUUGCGUUUUCAUAUGCGUUGAACCAAAAUUCAUCCAUCUCGUUUAAUUGCAGUAACCUUUUCUCACCCGCCGCUUGUAAAUCAAAAUUGAGCUUCCGAAUGGCCCAAUAUGCACUAUGUUCUAGCUCGAUCGGGAGGUGACACGCCUUUUCGUAAACCAUUCGAUAAAGUGACAUGCCGAUUGGAUUCUUAUAUGCUGUUCGAUAUGCCCAUAGAGCAUCGUCAAGAUGUAAAGACCAAUCUUUUCUUGAUGGAUUAACCACCUUUUCCAGAAUUUGCUUUACCUCCCUAUUUGAGACCUCAACUUGACCAUUGGUUUGGGGAUGAUACGCAGCUACAAUUUUAUGACGUACCCCAUACUUUGUGAUUAGCUUUUUGAAUUGUUUAUUACAGAAAUGAGUCCCCUCAUCACUUAUUAUUGCUCUCGGUGUCCCAAAUCGUGUGAAGAUAUUUUUCUUUAAGAAUCGAAGGACAACGUUGGCAUCAUUUGUGGGUAAAGCUGUGACUUCUACCCAUUUGGAAACAUAAUCAACCGCCAAUAGAAUAUACUGAUUAUUAAAAGAUGAUGGGAAGGGGCCCAUAAAAUUGAUUCCCCAUACAUCGAACAGUUCUACCUCCAAAAUAGAGUUGAAUGGCAUUUCAUUUCACUUGGAGAUAUUACCUACGCGUUGGCAUCGAUCACACUUUAGCACAAAGAGGUAAGCAUCUUUGAAUAGAGAAGGCUAGUAAAAUCCUGAUUGUAACACCUUGGCCGUAGUUCGAUCACCGGAAUAAUGGCCUCCAUAAUCUGAUGAGUGGCAAUGACCCAAUAUGCUGUCCAUCUCUUCAUAUGGCACACAACGUCUAAUCAUUUGAUCCGCGCACGCCUUAAAUAAGAAUGGUUCAUCCCAAUAGUACUGCUUCACGUCGUGGAGGAAUUUCUUUCUUUGUUGUGAGUUCAAAUCCGGUGGUAAUACCUUAGCAACCACGUAGUUCACAUAAUCAGCAUACCAAGGCAGUGUUGUGGUUAUUCGAAGAAGUCGUUCAUCCGGAAAUUUCUCAUUAAUCAUUGCGUUGUCUUUCUUUUGUACCUCUGCAUUCUCCAACUGAGAAAGAUGAUCUGCUACCUGAAUUUCAGUGCCCUUUCUAUCCCGGAUUUCCAAAUCAAACUCUUGCAGUAGUAAUACCCACCGUAUUAACCUCGAUUUGGCAUCCUUCUUCUCAAUCAGAUAUUUGAUGGCAGAAUGAUCCGUGUAGACAAUUACCUUGGUCCCAAUGAGAUACGCUCUGAAUUUGUCGAAGGCAAACACAACUGCAAGUAGUUCUUUUUCGGUGGUUGUGUAGUUCAACUGAGCAUCUGUCAAUGUCUUACUUGAGUAAUAGAUUGUGUGAAAGAUCUUAUCGUGGCGUUGUCCCAGUACGGCUCCCACUGCAUAGUCACUGGCGUCGCACAUCAAUUCAAACGGUAUAGACCAAUCGAGCGCCAUAAUAAUAGGAGCAGAAACCAACUUCUUCUUUAAAACCUCGAAUGCCUCGAUACAUGACUGAUCUAUUUUGAAAGGCACGUCUUUCUCCAACAGGGAACAUAAAGGUUUUGAAAUUUGUGAAAAAUCUUUAAUGAAGCAUCUAUCCCGCAUGUCCCAAGAAGCUCCGGAUUCCCUUCACAGAUGAUGGAGGAGGUAAUUUUUCAAUAGUCUCAAUCUUUGCUUUAUCCACCUCUAACCCUGCUGCAGAAACCUUAUGCCCUAGAAUAAUCCCUUCUUUCACCAUAAAGUGACAUUUUUCCCAAUUAAGAACCAGAUUAGUUUCCACGCAUCAUUUCAACACUAAAAUCAGAUUCUUCAAGCAAAGAUCAAAGCUAUCAUCGAAUACAAAAAAAUCGUCCAUAAAUAUCUCCAAAUUUUUCUUGACCAUAUCGGAGAAGAUCGCCAUCAUGCACCGUUGAAAGGUUGCCGGUGCAUUGCAUAAGCCAAAGGACAUACGUCGAAAUGAAAACGUACCGUAUGGGCAUGUGAAUGUCAUUUUCUCUUAAUCCUCCGGUCCUAUGGCAAUUUGAUUAUACCCAGGAUAUCCAUCCAAGAGACAAUAGAACUGAUGUCCCGCUAGCCUAUCCAGCAUUUGAUCAAUGAAUGGCAAGGGGAAGUGAUCCUUGCGUGUGGCUUUAUUUAGCUUGUGGUAAUCCAUGCAUACUCUCCAUCCUGUAACUGUUCGAGUAGGGAUGAGCUCAUUAGCUUCAUUCUUCACCACUGUCAUACCCCCUUUCUUUGGUACGCAUUGUACAGGACUCACCCAUGAACUAUCUGAGAUCGGGUAAAUAAUGCCAGCAUCUAACCACUUUAUAAUCUCCUUUUUCACCACCUCCUUCAUGAUGGGGUUUAGCCUUCUUUGCAUCUCGAUGGUUGGUUUUGCCCCCUCUUCCAUUAAGAUUUUAUGCAUACAGAAUGAUGGGCUAAUACCUUUAAUGUCCGCUAUAGUCCACCCAAUUACUAUUUUGAAUUCUCGCAAGACCCGUAGCAGUUUCUCCUUUUGCGUAUCAGUCAAAUCUGUCGAAACAAUAACUGGUAGGGUAUCAUCUUUUCCCAAAUAAGCAUACUGCAGAUAAGAUGGUAGUGGCUUUAAUUCCAGCACCGGUGGCUCUUCUAUUGAGGGUUUGAACUUUUUACCUUCCGUUUUGGGCCUCUCUAUGGUGUCGAAAGAUUGAGUGCUUUUCCGAAAGACUGAUGGUGUGUCUAGCCAUUUGACAUAUUCGAUAUCCUCUUCAAUACCACAUUCGUCUGUCCCGAGCAAAAUGGAUUCAAGUGGGUCCUCCGAAUAAUUUGCGCUGAAUUUGUGAUUCACCAAUUCCUCCAUGAUAUCAACCCGCAUACAUUCACCUUUUUCUUUUGGGUAAGACAUUGACUUGAAAACGUUAAAGGUGACCUGUUGAUCUUCAACUCGCAUUGUCAAUUCACCUUUUUGAACAUCGAUCAAUGUUUUUCCUGUUGCCAAAAAUGGUCGCCCAAGAAUGAUCGGGAUUUCACUGUCCACUUCACAAUCCAAGAUAAAGAAAUCCGCGGGAAAGAUGAAUUUAUCCACUUUUACUAACACAUCUUCAACAAUACCUCGUGGAUAUGUAACCGAUCUAUCCGCUAACUGCAAACUGAUAUUCGUUGGGCAUGGAGCCUGAAGCUUGGUUGUUACUCCAUGAAAACCCUGGAUGAUUCUUCCAACCUGGAUUAUAUACAUUUUGAUUCGGAUAGGGCUGGGUAGACCGACUGUAGCUCCCUACAAACUGUGCUGAUUCAGUAUUUAUGGCACAUUGAUCCGUAGUAUGACCCCCAGCACAAAUUUCACAAACCAUCGCUACCUGCUGUGUGGAUGGAGGACGCCAUAAUUCCAUUUGCUUAGACAUUGCAGCCACCUGUGCUUAUAAUGCUGUCAUCGCGUCUACGUCAUAUUUACCUGCAGUUUUCGGAGGAUUAGACCUAGUCAUGGGCCACUGAUAGUUGUUGGUGGCCAUUGUCUCUAACAACUGAUAUGCCUCGUCAAAAUUUUUUGACAUGAUUGCUCCUCCUGCUGCUGCAUCUAUACUAGCCCUCGUGGAAGCUUACAAGCCAUCACAAAAUAUCCCUAACUGCAUCCACUGCAGAAUUCCAUGGUAAGGACACUUACGAAGCAUAUCCUUAAACCUUUCCCAUGCCUCAUACAAUGAUUCUGAAUCAAAUUGUGCAAAGGUAUGAAUAUCAUUUCGUAGUUUUGCCGACUUUGCUGGUGGGAAAAACUUAGCUUGAAAUUUUUGAGCUAAGUCAUCCCAGGUGGUGAUUGAACCAGGAGGCUGAGAGUGUAGCCAACUUCGCGCUUUGUCUUUCAAGGUAAACGGGAACAUCCUCAACCUUGUAGCAUCUUUCGAUACAUUAUUGAAUUUGAAGGUAUCGCAAACUUCCAAGAAGCUUAAGAUAUGCUCAUUCGGAUCAUCUAACGAACUCCCCCCCAAACUGACAUUGAUUCUGAAGCAUUUGAAUAGUUGCUGGUAUAAUCUCAAAAUUGUUAGCGUUGAUUGCCGGUCUCCUAAUACUUGACUGUAUAUCCGUGACAUUCGGAAUGGCAUAGUCCCGAAGUGAUUUCUGAUCGUUCCCCGCCAUGUUCACUGGAAUUUCUUGUUCUGCCAGUUUUUCUUCCUCUGGUGAUACUGCACUAGUCGAUUACACUUUUCGGAACUUCCUUUCAAUCUCGUCUGUAUAAGGAAAAAGUUCCUUUCUCGCCCUUGAUCUAGUGUCCAUACACCCGCAAAGAAUUCCUGUUAAGACAAGAAGAAAAAUAAGUAAUGUUUAAAUUAAGACCGAAUUGAUUAUAACUAAUAUGGAAUUAAUAUUAACAAAGAAUUCCCCGGCAACAGCGCCAAAAACUUGUUGGUUGAUUUCACAAUCAAAGCAAACGUGCAAGUAUACACGAUCAACAAGUAAUAUAGUGAUAAAAUAGAGUGUCGAUCCCACAGAGAAUUCUAAUUAAUAAACUCCAACUACUAGUACNNNNNNNNNNNNNNNNNNNNNNNNNNNNNNNNNNNNNNNNNNNNNNNNNNNNNNNNNNNNNNNNNNNNNNNNNNNNNNNNNNNNNNNNNNNNNNNNNNNNNNNNNNNNNNNNNNNNNNNNNNNNNNNNNNNNNNNNNNNNNNNNNNNNNNNNNNNNNNNNNNNNNNNNNNNNNNNNNNNNNNNNNNNNNNNNNNNNNNNNNNNNNNNNNNNNNNNNNNNNNNNNNNNNNNNNNNNNNNNNNNNNNNNNNNNNNNNNNNNNNNNNNNNNNNNNNNNNNNNNNNNNNNNNNNNNNNNNNNNNNNNNNNNNNNNNAAUAAAUUAAAUAAUCAAUUCAUAACCAUAAAAGGUUCUAUUCGAAUCUUAAUAAAAGAAAUUAGUUCAUAACAAAAAUAAAAACCAACAAUAAUUGAUAAAUCAUCCUUAAUAAAUUACACAAAUUAAAAGAAUAAAGAAGAAGAAGAACUCCCAAUCCUCAAAAUCUGCUCUUUCUCCUUGAUUAAUCUCCCAAUUGUGUAGAAUCCGAGUCCCCCAAUUCAAUGCAAAUAACCAAUUUAUACUCUUAUUGUCUACUCUAGCAAUCCCAAUCCAAAUAUGCUUCAAACCAUCUCCAAAUAAGAGGUUAAACGAAAAGUCAAUGCCAGUCAAACAGUCAAACACGCGCCUUGGCCAGUCAACUGAAACUCCGCCCCAGCGCCCCGGCACUGGUGGACAGAAAGUGAUGCUCAAGCCCUUUUUUAGCCAAAUGCUCCCCAUUGUUCUCACAGCUCCCAAACCUACAAAUCAAAACAUAAACACAGUAAACAUGAUACUAAAAGACUCAAAAAUACACAAAUCUAAGCUCAAGUAUAUCCAAUUCAUGGGUAUAUUACCCAAUCAUCAAAUACCCCCAAACUUAAAUCGUUGCGUGUCCUCAAGCAACAGAACACAAACAACACGAAAAACUAGACAUCAUGCAAAUGUAAACAAUCUAUAUGAUCUUAAUUCCAGCAAUUCAAUAGUUGACGAAUAUCCAUGGGCCUUAGAAAAAUCACAAAAACAUGCUAAUACAUCAUGAUAAAGCAGAUCAAUAAUAUCCCAAUCAAUCAAAUCAAUCCAAAUCUGUUAUUACUGAUAUUGUGAGUGUGUGUUCAACAACCAUGCUAACCAAUGAACAGCAAAAUAUGAGAGAUAAUAACGUUCUUAAUAGGCAUCAUACAGUUUAACUCAAGAACUCGUCAAAUAAACUAGAUUCAACUAAAAUUAAACAAUCACCAAAAUCCAGGGUCAACAUGGAAUACUUAUGCUUAUUUAUGCUAGACGGGGGCAUUUUGCACUUUUCCCGCUUUAUUAUUUUGUUUAUCUUCUUUUUUUCUUUUUUUUUCAACGCUUAUAUACUCCAAAUAUUUUUCCCCCAAACUUGAGUUCAUAUCUAAAACAGUCUUCACUAGCUAUUUAACUUGCUCCUUCAUUUCACUAGCAUUCCUCCUUUAGAACUCCAUUAUCUAUCCAUUUAAACUAUCAUAGCUAACAUGGUCAUCUUUCCAAAUGUGCUAUCCUUAUAAUAUCAGUGUCAAACAGAUAAGGAUUCAAAUCAUGUCAAGAAAAUCAUAUCACUGACUCAACAAUCCUUACUAGACCUGUUCAUGUAAUUCUAAUUUCAUCACUGGCCCCCAAAUAUACGCACUAUCAAAAGCUGGAAUUAACAUGCAUUCCUAAACGCAACAUUUAUAAAAAUAAAAACAUCCACAAACUAUUAACAAUCACAGUUUACUCGUGUAAAUAAAAAUAAACUAAAUAACUACCCCCAAACUUAUCUAGAACAAUGUCCUCAUGCACAAUUUCGCCGAUUAGAUUCAUGUAUUCGUUGACUUCUUUAAUUGGUAAAAGACAUACGCAAUAUUCCCAAGAGUGUUGGCAUGUAUAAAAAAAAAUUAUCCAUGUAUGCAACAAUACGAUGCACCACUCGCCUACAAUAGUGACGAAUAGGUGUGACAAUAAGCAUAAACUAUUGUGGUGGCAGGAUGACAAGUCAAUACAGUGUGGAGAAAGGGAGAUAUGUGCACAUUGAACCCUUGGCAUUGAGUCAGGCAAUUUAUAGAACACAAAAUGUGCAACCCAUAAAUUACUUUGAAUCACCCUAGUUUUCUAUCAAAAUACAUCCCGAGAAGUCAAUUAUCCAAUAUGCAUGCUAUCACAACCAAACGUGGUGCACAAACAAUCAUUUAUCUUAUGCAGGCAACACAAGAGAAUCAAAAAUCAAAGAAGAUGAAAGUGUGCACUUAAUAUGUGUAGAGUAAAAAUCAAUCUUACUUGGAUCAAUCGAACGCAAACAUUUGUUGAAUGUUCUUACAUACGUACCUUUGCAAUAGAGAGAAUAGAUGAAAAUGGAUUUGUGAAAGGACUCCCAAUUUGAUAUGAAGAGUUAUGUUUUGAAUGGGGAGUUAAAAAAAACACGUUUAGAUCGGUUACCAGCUAUGAAGUUGAAACGUGUGUGGAAAGUGGAGUGCAUGGACUGAAAAACCGAGCACUUGGAACCAAAUAGGAUUCUCAAACGCCUCCUCAGCGCCGGGGCGCUGGGAUUUGGCCCGGAACAAGCGCUGGGGCGCUGGCCUUCAGGGCCUGGUGACAAUGUGCAGCGCCGGGGCGCUGAUUAUAUAUAAGAAUGGAGCGCCGGGGCGCUGUAUUGCAGUAGGUUGUGUGCCUCUCCAGCGUCGGGGCACUAAUGUUGCCUAGAGAAUGAGUACCGGGGCGCUGGCCUUCAGGGCCUGGUACCGAGCUUCAGCACCGGGGCGCUAGUUUAUAAGGUGAACUCAGCGCCGGGGCGCUAUCAAGCAGAAUCUGGCAUUGACCCCUAGCGUCGGGGCGCUUUAUAUACAUGAUUUUCAAGCGCCGGGGCGCUCUUGGUCUUUCUCAGUUGCCCUUUUCCUUGCCAAUUUCCUGUGUACAAAAAUUGCACGUGUGAGGUCAAUGAAGAGCAUAAAUCUAUUAUGAAAUUAAAGAUGAAAUAAAUGAAGUGUAACUAAAUGGACUAAAAUAAUUCGAAAUAAACUAAAACUCUCGGGGUUGCCUCCCUGAAGCGCUUGGUUUAUAGUCGUCAGCUCGACUUUGCUGUCGUGAUCACUCGGUUAUUGGGUCAGAAAGAUUCAUGACCGUAGUCUGACGUUCGAUGGGUCCACUCCAGUAAUGUUUGAGUCUUUGACCGUUAACCUUGAAUGUACAAUUUGAAUUUGGUUUUUCGAUCUCGAUGUUACAAUGGGGUGUAACAUUCACAACUUUAAAAGGUCCUGACCAAUGAGAUUUCUGUUUCCCAGGAAAUAAACGCAAUCUUGAGUUGAAAAGCAAGACUUGUUGGCCCGGUUCAAACGUUCUAUCAAGAAUUUUCUUAUCAUGCCAAGCUUUGACUUUCUCCUUGUAGAGUUUUGCGUUUUCAUAGGCGUUGAACCGAAAUUCAUCCAUCUCGUUUAAUUGCAGUAACCUUUUCUCACCCGUCGCUUGUAAAUCAAAAUUGAGCUUCCGAAUGGCCCAGUGCGCACUAUGUUCUAGCUCGACUGGGAAGUGACACGCCUUUCCGUAAACUAUUUGAUAAGGUGACAUGCCGAUCGGAUUCUUAUAUGCUGUUCGAUAUGCCCAUAGAGCAUCGUCAUGCCGAUCGGAUUCUUGUAGUGUCAUAUCCGAUAGGGUUGGUGAAAUAGUAGACUACAGUGUCAAGAAGUCAGAAAAAGAUGUCAUGUAACAUCUGUUGUCUGCACCAAAUAACUUGAGAUCUGCGAAGAAAUUUGAAUAUCUUUCAACGGCUACUUUCCAACGGGAAGAUUGGGAAGCAGUAUAAAUCAACAGAGCUUCAAAGAUCAAGAGUUGCUGAUGAUUGCAUUGUUGUAGAAUCAUUGAGUUGGUGAAUGCUAUUGUUGACUCUACGAGUUCCACCAAAGAUCAAUAGAACAUGUCUCAGUGAUAGUGAGACUACCAAGGUGGAAGUGAAGCAGCUUUGAAGAAGGAAUCAAACAGAUCGAAGCUUCACUCAAUAAAGAUGAGAAUGCCAUUGAAGAUGGCAGCCAAACUGAGAGUCGAGAAGGCCAAGAAGAUAGCAUUCAAGAAAGUGGCUAAGUACAAAGAAGAUCAAGAGAGCCACUCUACGAAUCACCAUGAACCGAAUGCUAAAAUGGAACAAGUGCAGAACCAUGUCUGCAAAGUAUUCAAGAAGGGUUUAGGGAUUGCUAAGUGCCAGACAAAGUCUACUAAAAACAUAGAGACUUAGCAAUCCCAGAUGGUGAUGAUGCACAGCUGAUACCAGAUGAAGAUGAGCAGAAAAGAGUGAAGAUCAACUGCACCAAAGAAGAUGUGGUCCAGACCCAAAGCAGAAUGCAAAGAGGACAACACCAAGCUGCUAAGUACAAAAGAUGUUUAGAGCCUAAUGACAUCUUAGCAGCUCAGCACCAACAACAUCAACAACUACAACAACAAGAAGCCAGGGCCUGAAUGGUCCUUAUCCGAAGGGACUAAAUGAAGUUCCAAGCCUGCUGGGCUUGAAGAGUUCCUAGGGAACUAGAGAAGUUCCAAGGCUGCUGGCCUUGAAGAGUUCUUAGUGAACUGAAGUCCCAAGGCUGCUGGCCUUGAAGGAAUCUUAGUUAUUCAGGGUGCUGCUCUUCCUUAGUGGAAAUCCUGCUAGUUGAAAGCAGAAGAGUGGAUUAGGAGCUUGAGUCUCUGAACCACUUAAAACCCCUUGUGUCUUUUACUUUAUGUCAUUUACAUUACGCACAUUAACUACUAUAACUGCUAUGUAUGUUAUAAUUGCUUACCACUAAACUAACUCUACGAACAAUGUAUGUAUGAUUAUGAAUAUAUCAAUGAAGGGGAUCUUUUACUUAUUCUGCUGUGCUUGAAAAGAUUCUUAUGUUUGUCACAUGCUAAUUUAUUAGCAAUACAAAAUAAAUUAGAAAAGUAUUGACAUCAAAAAGGAUCUAUUCAACCCCCCUUCUAGAUCUAUUGUGCCUACUGGGAACUAAUACACCCCUAAGAAUCUAGUAACUUGAGCAGAAAAGGCCACAUAAUCAACAUAAGCCUAAAUUAGACUUUACAAAACUGAAAAUCAUAAGGCGAGUGCAUUUUAUGCUCCAUCUCAAUAUUGGUCCUACGUUUAUGGGCGAGUGCGUUUUACCCUCCAUCUCGACCCACCGCAAGACUUUCGAUAUUCAAUCUUCUUAUCAUUUUUUUUAUAUAUAACUAAACAUGCACGAAUCGAAGAUUCAAAACUUUAUAAACGUCUAAGUCUUUUAUUACCUUGUAAAAAAUGAAAGUUUAUAAGAGUGGACAAACUCUCAAAGCAAUAAACACGCGAACUAAAUUCGAAAAAAUAACUAGUUAACACAGUUGGUCGGUGCUUCCUAGAAGGACGGAUCAAUUACAGUCUCAACUUAUCAACUAACAAACCCCUAAUACAUACAUGCUUGACACAACUCUAAGAGAGACAUACUCAUAUGGCGCUAGUUAUAGCCACAAUUAAAAAUCAAUAAUGUAUAACACCCUUGCUUAAUAGCAGCUCAAAAUAGGGUAAAAAGGCCAUUAACAUGGCAUAAGUAUAUAAAUCUGUAUCAGCCCCAAAAGAUGGCUAUAAACCACAAAUAUGCUAAUUAUAAUCAUGCAUUAAUAAAUAAAAAAACAAAAUCAGUUCAUGACAUCCAUAAUAAUAAGAAUUCAAAACAUCAUCCCGCAGUUCAAAAAUGACUGCACCACAAUAUUGAAAAUAAAUAAAAGAAAGUACUAAAUAUGCAAUGUGAUAUGGCAUUUGACAGAAAUAGCAAGAUAAUCAGCCCUAACACCCCCAAACUUUAGGUGAGUAAUGACCUCAUUGCUAAACAUAAAAAAAUUAAUACAAGAGGGCUUCCCUAAAGAUCACUCAAUCAACAGCGUCAUCGUCCUCCUCAGCUUCGGCGGGUGGUGAUGGCGGAGGGUAUGGUGGGAAGACUAGAGGCUCCGAGAACUGAUAUGGCGUGAACUCAACGUUUUCGCCACAGUAGUCAGUGUAAAUGCUCUACAUGGUAUUCACCAGCUCCGCCUGAUACGGCAUAGCAAUUUCCUGCCUCUGCGCCACCGCUGCAAUGUGCCUCUGCUACCUCCGAGCCUCGGCGUCGUGCUUUUGAUGCAGCAGGGUGAGGGAUGCCAUGAUGUAGGCCAGUAGUCCCUGUCCAUCUGGACCUGUGUCUGGAUCGACGUCUGGAGGCUGCGAGGGUUCGGCCUCUGCUGUAGGAGGUGGCACUGUAAGUGGCCCGUAUCCCUCGCCUCUGACAUGAGAUUUUGUCUCGUCCCACUUAUAGUAGUGUUUGAUGGUUAGAUGGUCAAUGACUGUCAUGAGUGGCGAGGCUAUCUCUUCUGGUGCCCACUGAAUGCCUGCUUACUUGCACAGUCUCGUGAUCAACAAUGGAUGUGGGAGUCCGGCAGCGAUAUUGCUCUUGAUUGCCUUCAGAAUGGAGUUGUGAAUACGCACUCCAAUAUCCAUAUUCAGACCUGUGACAAUGGCGAAUAGCAAAAUCGCCCUAUCCUUCAUCAUGUCGCCCAGAUGUCGGGUCGGGAUCAUGUUGGCACAUAUGAUGCUGAACCACGCCUUCCCGUAGCGAUUGAGUGCUGAAGCCGGGAAAUUGGUUUGUUCACCCGUGUAGUCAUUUUUCAUCCACGCAGUCCCGGACUUAUAGAGCUGCCUAAUCAUAUCCUCGAGAUCAUAGCUGCAGAGUCCCGGCUAUAGAUAGUCACUGCCCUGAUAAUCGGGUGUCGCAAACAGUUCAUUGAUGGCUUGGCUUCCAAAAGGCACUAACUUCCCCCGAACUUGGAUAGCAGUAGGACCAUUGGGAUUAGCGUUGGAAUAAAACUCCCGAACCACUAGUACUAUGGCCGACGCAGGUGGCUUUGUGAAGUGAAUCCAAUUGUGCUCCAGUAUCAUAGUGGUUAGCUCACCAUCUUUCUUGUCUGGCCUGAACCCCCGCUCAGGAAUCAAAUUUCAUGCGCCAAAUGAGCUUUUAUACCUUUUCCAGGCCUCUUCAUUGAUAAAAUUGGUGGUGUCCCAAGCAGUUGGUGGUGGCGUGGCGGACGAAGACUCUCCGACACUGAGUUGUUGCCUUUUGGGUGCCACAUCAAAAUUCCUGUUGGUUUGAUGCAAAAGUAGUCCCAAGCAGUGCCAAAAUUCCCCCAAACGUAAGCCAAGUAGACCCAAACAAUUGCCAAUGUCAAAACAGCCCAAAACAGUCAAAUUCUUCUCUCAGGUAAAUUAACAAAUACCUUGCGUGCGUUUUGAAAACCAAAUUUUGAUAGCCCUUUCUUUGUGAAUACUCUAACCAGAUUUCCAGCAGUGGAAAUCACCCCAAACACGCAACAAGAAAUAAAACCAAGCACCAACCCACAAUUCGAUCAAAAUCUAAGUGAAUGACCAAAAUCCAAAUGAAAUACCUUGAAGGGGAA
rnacentral:lncRNA from 1 species